rnacentral:lncRNA from 1 species
AAAGAACUUGUAUACGCGUUAUAUUCCUUAAAAGGAAAAAGGCAUCGUUAGGGGCUUGGCUAAAACAUUAUCAGAGUUUGCAGCGGAAGGCGUAACUGAAAUAAUCAGUGUUUACAGCGAAAUGCAUAACUGAGAUACAUGUAUGAAGACAUGUAUCCUUUCUGAGCCUACUUUAAGUUCAACAAAAACUCCACUCAGCAACAACACUUCAUCGCCCAUCACAGCUCAACCUGCACAAACAUAAACAUCGAAGGGCUAAGUACAAGAGUACUUAGUGGGCAGUUGCCAAGCAUAUAACAUAACAUCAUUAACAAUUUCACAAUAUCGCAUAAGAGGCAUGAGUUUCUUUCAUAUCAUUUACUCAUUAAACAUUUCCAAAUUCUUAAAUAGCAUAAGGGCAUUCUUCAUCAUCAAUCUUCAUUAACAAACAUCGUGUCGUGGAGAAGGCCUUCCCCAACGAACACGGGCAUCGCGCCGUGAAGGGGAGCCUCCCUCAGCGGUCACGGCAUCGUACUAUUGAGGGAGGCCUCCCCCAAUAGACGCUGUAACACUGGCAUACUGGCAUCGCGCCGCGAGAGAGGCCUCUCUCAGCGGACACGGGCAUCGCGCCGUGAGGAAGGCCCUCCUCAACGGACACGGCAUCGUACAGUUGAGGGAGGCCUCCCCCAACAGACGCAAGCAUCAAACAUAAGCAUAAACUUAUCAGCGUAAAGCAUUCAAGCGUAAAUAAGCGUAAUCAAGCGUAAAUUACAUAGGCGUAAAUAGUAUAAACAGCAUAGCAUAAAUCAUUUAGCGUGCAGCAUAAUAAAGCUUAACUUAUUUAAGCGUAAUAAAGCAUACCACACUUGAAGAUCCAGUUUGCAUUUUAAAGCAUAACACUUGCAUAACAUUUUAUUUACGCGUAAGAAAUUGCCCACCUGAUAGCAAAGUUUUGCUAAGGUACUCUAACUCCUUGUGUAGUUCUUACUCUCGCGCUUGACCUUAAUCACGAGAAUAUAAAAUAAGACAUUGCCUCGAGGAAAAUUCUUAAUUAAUGAGAAAGCGUAAUUUAACUAUGCAUGAAUCUGGUAUGCAUGAACUAAUCUUCUGAGCGAUAAUCGGGAAUUCUACUAUUAAUCCUCGUUAAUAGAUUUAGCUAAUUCUCGUCUAGCGCGGUCGAAUAAAACUGUGAUUCUUCCUUCCUCAUCGGAAUAUUCUAGUCGUGAAAUAAACCUCGCCUUUGUACUCGAUCGGAAAUAGGACUAACUCGGCUUUAAACGAGGUGUGACCUCGUAGAAAUUUAUCGGGCUUUUCGAUAGAAACAUAAUUACUAAUGUAACCUCAAAUAAUUAAUAGGCUCAAAAGAAAGUAGCCAAUUAAUUAAAUAAACCAGUGGCUUUAAUGGAAAUAAACAAUGAUAGCUUGCUUUAAAGUCUGAAGUCCAAAAACAAUAAUUAAUAGACUGGGCGGCUCAUUUACUGAAUAAGAAUCGGCUCAUCCGCUGAUAAAUAAUUGGGCUCCAUCAAAAAUAUUACUGCAAGGCUUAACUAAAGAAGUAGCUUCAGCCCAAGUGAUAAUAGUAAUUAAUGUGGGCUGGAAACAAUAAAUCUUAGUCCAGUAGGCAAUUUAAUCGGCCCAAAAGAUGAAUUAAACUGGCCCAACGAAAUUAUAAUGGGAUUAGAAUAAUAGCCCAUCAUAAAAUAUGCAUCAGCCCAACUCCUUAAGUUAAUUCAAGCCCAAUAAAAAUAAUGAGAAGGACCAAUUAAAUUAAAGACUGGCCCAUUUCGAAUUUAUUUGCGAAAGCCCAAGCAAUUAAAAUUGGAAGCUCAAUUCCUUUAGAAUAAAACAAACCCAAGCUCAAAUAAUUCGGCCCAAAUAAUAUAGAUAAAGGCCCAAUUCGAAUUUAGAUGUGAAGCCCAAGCCAUUAAAAAUUCAAGCCCAAAAAUUAAAAGGGAAAAGCCCAAACAAUUAAAAUAAAAAUCAAGCCCACACUCUCUCUCUUCUCAAAAUUCUCGGCCAUGUUCUCUUUCUCUCUCGCUCAAAAUCCAAUCGAGCUCUCUCUCUCGAUUCACGGCUGCUUCGUGAGCUCCGCCGCUGCUCCUGCUGUGAAUCCGACGGUCGGCCGCCGUUCUCAGCUUCACGAUCCCUCUCCUCUCUCAAAAACUCGAACCAGACGCCGCCCAGCCCCUUCCUCUCCAGCCUGUUCGCUCGGCGCUCUCCAAAAUCUGUUCGGUUCCACCUUCUCCGGCCGUCCAGCCACCGUCUGCUACCACCGCAUUAGCUGCCGACGUGUUCGACACCGGCGCUCUCCAAAAUCCUUCUUCCUUCCUCACGCAGAAAUCAAGCGAGCCCUAGUUUCAUCUGGUGAGUCGCCGCUGCUGUCGCACCCUUGUCUGGAAUCCGGCGAAUCAGCCGGCGAUGAUCGUACUCGACUCUCCUCUCGUCUCAACCAUGAAAGGGAAGCAAAGCCCUCACUCUCCCCUGACGUUUCAAAUCGGGUGUUCUUCCCCAAAAUAUGAUCGGCCCUUCCUUUUCAACUCUGGUCGGCUCCUCUUCCUCCGUUCCGGUAGUCGGGUUUUGGCAGAUUCUUGGGAAGUCGUCCCUUCCCCAUCUAAAAGCUAAGUCUAAUCUCUCUCUCCAAUCCAUUCACUUAUCUAGUUUCUGUGAGUUCUUGUGAUUGUUACUCUGGAGUGUAGUGGAAGUGAAGCAUAUAAAUCCUUCUGUUGUAAAGUAUCUCCCUAUUGUACAACAUAUCUUGACUAUUUCGUGUAGAUGAACUGUGAUUAUGCUAAAUAUGGAUGCGAACUGAAUUGAAUACUCUAUUGUUUAACUGAUCAUGCUUGCUGGAUGAUGCGAAAUGGAUCGAAUAAGUUGAGCUUAGUAUAUACCUUGUAAUUGUUUGGUAUUUGGCUGUUGUGUUGAUCUCAGCAUGA